CUUUACUGUGUUAACCUCUACCACUUCAGCUGGAAGGCUAUUCCAUGUGUCCACUACCCUCUCAGUAAAGUAAUACUUCCUGAUAUUUUUAAACCUUUGUCCCUCUAAUUUAAGACUAUGUCCUCUUUUUGUGGUAGUUUUUCUUCUUUUAAAUAUAGUCUCCUCCUUUACUGUGUUGAUUCCCUUUAUAUAUUUAAAUGUUUCUAUCAUAUCCCCCCUGUCUCGCCUUUCCUCCAAGCUAUACAU